rnacentral:rRNA from 1 species
AUGAGUACCGAGUCCAGGAACGGGAGCGACAUCGACCCGGAGAACGUCAUCGCCGUCACACUCGACGAUCUGUCGGAAGAUGAUCGGCGCGAGCUUGAACAAGAGCUAAAGAAAGAGAUGGUUGAGCGACUAAAAUUGAAGUUGACUGGAUACCUUAAGACAAGGAUCGGCGUCGUCAAGAAGGUACAUGUGCCGAACCCUUCAGAUUCGAUCAACACCGAGGUAAAAAAGUCAAUCGAAGAAAUUUCUCAUUUAAUUGAUGUGUGCGUAGCUACCAAGUAUGAUUCUGAUGUGAAAUCUACGACACAUACAAUUACUCAAUCAGUAGCUAAUAGAAUUGAAGAAUUUAAGGAGCAGCUUCAUAAAGAUCUUGGAAAUAAUUUACCUAGUCAUGUUCGGUCGUUAGUGCUGCAAAUCAAUGAUGGAUAUUCUGAGGAAAAGUUGAUGCCGCUGCAAAAUACAGGAUUCAUUAACUUUCCUAGUAAUAUUCAUAUACAUAGUGCAUCGGUUAAUAACGUUGUGCAGCCCAAUGUUCCUUUAAAUAGCGAUCAAGGUGGCCGGAACUAUGUGAACAGUUCGGCUAAUAAUUUUAUGCCUAGCGUAGCUGCUCCUACUGUCUCAACUUCGGUUCCGCAAAAUUACAACAGCAAUAACCGAAGUGCUAGUUCUAAUUCUACUUUUCAAUGA